GGAACAGUCAGUGCUCAGAGGAGCUGCCUGUGAGAAACACUAAGCAGGAAAGCUGGAAUACUCUGAGCUCCUCCAUGCACCCUCUGCCCUGACCUUGGAUGAUUUAUUUUUGCAGAUGUGAUGUCCAGUGGUACCUGCCCAGUCCUGUGUGACACUGGGUGUUCUGCAGAUUGUUGGUGAUAUGCAGAGCAGUCAGUCUGUGCUUGUCAGAUGAGCUCGAAUGGGAUUGGGAAACGUGGUUCUUAUGGAAUUCCAUCCACAGAAGAAAUUGGGGCUGAUCCAGGAAAACCUUGCUUGUGUUCCAUGAGGGCAGUGCAUGGCUACACCCAGUGGAACAUUCCCCAUGAAGGUGUGCUCUGCACCUGCUGCUGCCCUCCAGGCUGAGCCCACCAUCCUGGGUCACACAGGGCAUCUGCUCUCAGCCUCCUGGGAGCUGGGGGACAAAAAGACAAGGCAGCUGGUAAUAACCCAUGGAGGACUGCAUGGAUAAAAUGUUCUGCCUGUUGGUGCUAGAAGGCUUCUCUCUUUUAGCAGAAUGAUAUCUGGGUUAAAUCUGUGUGGUGUUAUUAAAGAGCCAUAUAAUCCUGGGGACUGUUGCACAAAGACAAACCCAGAUAAUAGACUGGAGAGCAAAUGCUCAUCAAUGUGAGGUCAGAUAGAAUAUCUAAUGGAUCUUCCUCAUCAAAAUAUGCCUGAAUCAACAAGGGAUGAUACGACUUCAAAUGUGAUUCUUCCAAGUGUUAAUGAUAUGAUAAAGAGGUUGCUGAAAAACACGCUAGCUGGGGUGAUCAUAGAUUGAUUCUAUUUAAAUUAACUGUAAGGAUAAACAAAAGUAGGUUUGUGAUUCAGAUUUUCUUCUUUCAAAGGGAGAACUGAUUAGGGAAACCAACAUACUUGAAUAUGGAUAAAGGUUUGGAAUUUCUUUGUCAGCUGUUGUACAAUUAUUACCAGGAUCCUACCCAAGUUUUCACUGCAGCAUUCUGAAAGAACUGGAAUAUAGCAGCACAAAGGGUUUGAACAGACUUGUCCUCUGAGAAUAGAACCAUACAUGUGGAGGAGACAAAGCAGGCUGCAUGGAAAUGAGAUGAGGGUAGAGAGUAAUGAUGUUCCUAACAAUACAUGUGAUAUUAUUUAAUAUUUUUAUUGGUUUACUUUCAUGGAGGAUUCUAAAAUGUAAUGGAAUUGAAAUGGAUACAAUUCAGCAACACAAAACAUGUGAUUAUGAGUCCACAGAUCAGGAGAGAUUUCUGCUGUACACGGCAGGUAAGUGUAAGCAGAUGGGGGAGAAGGAUGGGAGGCCAGUCAGAGUCUGGAUCUGACCUGCCAGGUGGGAAAAUGCAAUUGCAGUCCUGUAAUCAGGGAAGGAUGAGGGGUUAUUGAUGCAUUGUACAAGCAGGAAUGAAGUUUUAACUAGUUUUGUAAGUACUUAGCUCUGAAACAAGUGCAGAAAAGGUUCUUAAUUUCCCAGUAACCCUGGAAACCCCCAGGAUAAGAGGAGAAAAGAGUCUGCCAUCUAUAAAUACACUGCAGGAAUGAACAACAUAUUUAAAUCAAAGGAUAGCAUUAGUCAAAGAGCAAAAGGGUAUGACUGGGCCAGGCAUAAACUUGGUCUUGAAACAAUAUAAAAACCUAUAACCCUCUAAACAGGGAGACUUUAAAAGAGUCUCCAAACUGAUAUUGUGAAGAGAAUAAACUGAUUCCAGAAAAUGGAGGUCUGGAAGGCCUUUCCACCCCCGUGAUUUAUGGACAUGAUAAUGCAGAUACAGCUGAACAAGUUGACAUUAAAAGCACCAGGUGCCAUCAGUAGAUAAUAAUUUUGUUCUAGGUGGCAGGAAACUGAACUAUUUUUUUAGAAGUGACAUUCAGGUAGAGUCUGGUUAUCUCCACAGUGUUUGCCAAAGGCCAUUCACCUCUGGUUUUUGGGACAACAGGGCAAGAUUUAGGUCAAUCCACAUUUUGCCACAAUGCUUUCAGACCUGCCUGGGAACCAGUGUUGAGCAUAUGCAUUCUUAAAGAACCCAUGCCUACAUCCUCAUGCCCUUGGAGUAGAGAAUAUGUUUCCUGAUUCCACAACCUGGCUCCAAUUCAAUGAAAGGAACUGCUGAUGGCAUUUGUGCAGUUUAUGAAUGGUAGGAAAACGUGAGCUACAGUUGCAUUGAACCAGAUCCUCCAUUGCAAGACAUGGACCUUGCUUGCAAAGGUUUUAUUUUGAAUGUUCUUUACAACUACACUGAUGAAUGUGUGGAAUUUGUAAAAUAAGCCAUAGGAUACAUCUGUGUGAGUAUUGCUGCUUGAGUCAUUUUAGGAAAUGAUGCAGGUUGGAAACUUUACAAUAUUCUUCCUGCCAGAGUAGGUAUUUCCCAGCACACAGCCCAGCCCUCUGUACAGUGCAGUUGUCUGCCAGUCAGUGCCCAGUAGGAAACUGCAACGUGGCAAGAACUGAUCUGUCAGAGGCCACAUGGCCUCAACUGUGUUUGGGAUCUGUGCUUUGAAGGGAAGGAGGGCUCUUGCAGGUGUUCAGGCAGAUGUCCCUGAACAGCAGCAGAGUGACAGUUCCACUGCUACACGUGCAGAUAAAGUUUACCUUGUUCCUUUUGCCUGGCUGGCAGGGUUGUGUGACUGGUCUUGCUGCAGGUUACAUUCCAGGAUGAGGUUUGAGCUGCUCCAGCAGCUCAAAUGAGCAGUAGCUACACUGAUACACAUCUUAGAAGAAUUAGCUGCUAAAAAGAGCAAGUUGGAAACAGCAAUCCUGAGAGGUUUGUUCUAUUCUUGAGAAUUAAGCACUUAAGCAAUGCCCUCUAGCUUUGUUCUGACUUUGUAAUUCUCUGUAAUUUAGCAAAGCUUACAAACCUUGCCCUCUUGCCACAUAUCAAUUGUGGUUCAUUAGGUUUUGUAGCAAUGAGCAUAGAAAUAGACAAGUGAUAAGAAGAGUUGGCAUUUAUGCUCUUCAGCAGCACCACUUACUACUGCAGUUAAAGCCAUUUUUUUAUCUUUGCACUUGCUCAAAAAGAAAAAAGCAUUUGAACAGACAGAAACACUUGCCCUAAGAUUCUUAUUUAAUAUGUAUAUUAAAUUCUUAGUUAAUAUGUAUAUAUGUGUAUAUACAAAUACAUAUAUACAAAUGCGUAUAUAUAUUUGAAUUUGACUCUAUUUAAAAACAGAUUGUUAGAGCAGAUGAGACCAUUUCUGCCUAUUUGAUCUCUAUAAAUAGAUAACCUCUGUGUUUUAGCUGUAGACUUCUGUAAAUUUUGUUCCUGUUUGAACUACACAGGUUUUCAGAAAAAGAUCUAAUUUUGACUUGAAUAAUUUUUGAUAAAGUAGAAUUGCUACAAUUACUAGUGAAUUGCUCCAGCUAAUUAUCCUCAUUACUAAUAAACAUGUGCCUUGUCUGCUGUUUGUAUCCAGCUGGUGAGGGC